GAUGAACGCUGGCGGCGUGCCUAAUACAUGCAAGUCGAGCGAACGGACGAGAAGCUUGCUUCUCUGAUGUUAGCGGCGGACGGGUGGGUAACACGUGGAUAACCUACCUAUAAGACUGGGAUAACUUCGGGAAACCGGAGCUAAUACCGGAUGAUAUCUUGAACCGCAUGGUUCAAAAGUGAAAGACGGUCUUGCUGUCACUUAUAGAUGGAUCCGCGCUGCAUUAGCUAGUUGGUAAGGUAACGGCUUACCAAGGCAACGAUGCAUAGCCGACCUGAGAGGGUGAUCGGCCACACUGGAACUGAGACACGGUCCAGACUCCUACGGGAGGCAGCAGUAGGGAAUCUUCCGCAAUGGGCGAAAGCCUGACGGAGCAACGCCGCGUGAGUGAUGAAGGUCUUCGGAUCGUAAAACUCUGUUAUUAGGGAAGAACAUAUGUGUAAGUAACUGUGCACGUCUUGACGGUACCUAAUCAGAAAGCCACGGCUAACUACGUG
rnacentral:rRNA from 1 species